GACGAACGCUGGCGGCGUGCUUAACACAUGCAAGUCGAACGGAAAGGCCUCUUUCGGGGGGUACUGGGUGGGGAAACGGGGGGUUAACCCGUGGGUAACUUCCCCUUGACUUUGGGUUAAUUUCGGGAAACGGGGGCAAAUACGGGAUAGGAGCUCCUGCUGCAGGGUGGGGGUUGGAAGGUUUCGGGGGUUGGGGAUGGACUCGCGGCUUAUCAGCUUGUUGGUGGGGUAGUGGCUUACCAAGGCUUUGACGGGUAGCCGGCCUGAGAGGGUGACCGGCCACAUUGGGACUGAGAUACGGCCCAGACUCCUACGGGAGGCAGCAGUGGGGAAUAUUGCACAAUGGGUGGAAGCCUGAUGCAGCAACGCCGUGUGCGGGAUGACGGCCUUCGGGUUGUAAACCGCUUUCGCUCAUGACGAAGCUUUGUGUGACGGUAGUGGGUAAAGAAGCACCGGCUAACUACGUG
rnacentral:rRNA from 1 species